GCUCAGUUGGUUGAGCAUCCAACUCUUGAUUUUGGUUCAGGUCAUGAUCUCGCUGUUAAUGGGUUCAAGCCCCAUAUUGGGCU
rnacentral:tRNA from 1 species